CUGCAAUGAUGGCAUUUCUUAGGACACCUUUGGAUUAAUAAUGAAAACAACUACUCUCUGAGCAGC
ensembl:snoRNA SNORD58 Small nucleolar RNA SNORD58